UACAGAGGAGCCAAGCGUUGUCCGGAUUGACUGGGCGUAAAGCGCACGCAGGCGGAUGCGCGCGUGGGGUGUGAAAUCUGGCCGCUUAACGGCCAGGCGCCAUCCCAUACGGCGCGUCUGGAGUGAUGCAGAGGUCGAUGGAAUUGCCGGUGUAGUGGUGAAAUGCGUAGAUAUCGGAAGGAACACCAAUGGCGAAGGCAGCCGCCUGGGCCUGAUCUGACACUGAGACACGAAAGCGUGGGGAUCAAACAGG
rnacentral:rRNA from 1 species